rnacentral:lncRNA from 1 species
GCGAAUCUAGCUCCUCUGACAGUGAAGACUCUGAAACAGGUUAGCUGGCUCCUGUCCAAGCAUCUCAUCAAACUACCCUGCGCAUUCAUACCUGCUACUCUCUCAGUCCUUUGUCUAGGCUGUUUAAGAGCCCAGAGUUGAUGGCCACUGAGAACUGCCUGAGCUCUCCUGUCUACCCGUGCAUCAUGUUAACCUUCCCUCUCCCUGCCCUGUGUAGGAGCACUCUAUUCUCUCCAUCUGGGUAGUGGUAGACCUUGAGGACUGCAGGACUGUUGUUGGGGUCCCAUCAACAUUGGGCUGGAAUGUCCCCACUCCUCUUCCAGUAUUUUAGCCUUACAGUUGGCAUGGAAACGAAUCUGGCCACAUUUUAGCAGAGUAGAGCCAAGCCACCUGUAUCUGACAUCCUGCAUGAUCAGUCUGUUUGGAGCCUGACCUUGAACUAUGGAAGCUGCCGUUUUCUUCACAAUGUGCUCACUGCUGUUUUGUGUUGUCUGUCCCCAGAUUGCUCUAACUGUAUGUGUGUCCUGCUCUUCCUCUGAUCCUUGUGCUCUGUGGGCCUAUAUCGUGGUGUUCAGUUUCUUUGUUCUGAGCACCAGUUACAGAGCCUGCGGUAAAGAUGGGAACAGGUUUCCUUCCCAGAGGUGCACUCUUCUUUGUUGUUCUCAGAGGAGCAGGUACUCACAUUGGCCUCAAGGGAAAGGUAUGCUGUACCUAGGUUGUCUGACACAUGGCUCCUGUGGGCAGGGCAGGUUCUAUUUGCUGAGAAUAUCGUCCACCUAUGAGCCUGCCCUGGGGCCUCACGAAAAUGGGCUAGGAUGUGUGAGUUCUAUAGUGAGCAGAGGGCCUAUAGGGCCUGUAGACAAAAAGGCUCCUGGCAGUCUUCCAUGGAUCUUUGACUUGUGGAGUAAUCACCUGAUCAUGGAGAGUCAAGGCUCCCUUUCAACAGCGAGGAUGAGCUUUGUUAUUUCAAGCUGUACACACAGAAACUGGAAGCUAGGUUGGAAGAGACAUUUUUGAAUAGGCUUUGGCCUUCCCAGUUCUCUGUAUUGCCUUGUUUUGAUGAGCAAUGUAUUUACAAAGAAAAUGUAAUCUACUAAAUGGUGUGUAUGUGCAAAUUG